UGAGUACGAGAUGCUACGGCAUCGAAGCAGUCUAUGUCAUACUUCCAAGAAAAGCUUGCAAUGUCAUAAACAAAUAAUGCCUGUACCAUAACCGACACAGGUGGGUAGGUAGAGUAUACUAAGGGGCGCGAGAUAACUCUCUCUAAGGAACUCGGCAAAAUGACUCCGUAACUUCGGGAGAAGGAGUGCCUUAUUUUUAUAAGGUUGCAAUAACAAGAUCCAAGCAACUGUUUACCAAAAACACAGGUCUCCGCUAAGUCGUAAGACGAUGUAUGGGGGCUGACGCCUGCCCAGUGCCAGAAGGUUAAAGAAGUUGGUUAGCAUUAGCGAAGCUGAUAACUGAAGCCCUGGUGAACGGCGGCCGUAACAAUAACGGUCCUAAGGUAGCGAAAUUCCUUGUCGGGUAAGUUCCGACCCGCACGAAAGGCGUAAUGAUUUGGAUACUGUCUCGGAGAGGGGCUCGGUGAAAUAGACUUGUCUGUGAAGGUGCGGACUACCUGCACCUGGACAGAAAGACCCUAUGAAGCUUUACUGUAACUUGAGAUUGAAAUUGGACUUUAUCUGCGCAGUAUAGGUGGGAGACGUUGAAAAUAUUCUUGCGGGAAUAUUGGAGUCAUCAGUGAGAUACCACUCUUAUAAUGUUAGAUUUCUAACUUUGUAUCAUUAUCUGGUCAAAGAACAGUUUCAGGCGGGCAGUUUGACUGGGGCGGUCGCCUCCCAAACGGUAACGGAGGCGCACAAAGGUUUCCUCUGAACGUGUAGAAAUCGUAUCUAGAGUGUAAAGGCAUAAGGAAGCUUGACUGUGAGACCUACAAGUCGAGCAGGGACGAAAGUCGGUCUUAGUGAUCUGACGGUGCUGAGUGGAAAGGCCGUCACUCAACGGAUAAAAGUUACUCUAGGAUAACAGGCUGAUCUCCCCCAAGAGUUCGCAUCGACGGGGAGGUUUGGCACCUCGAUGUCGGCUCAUCGCAUCCUGGGGCGGUAGUACGUCCCAAGGGUUGGGCUGUUCGCCCAUGAAAGCGGUACGCGAGCUGGGUUCAGAACGUCGUGAGACAGUUCGGUCCAUAUCCGGUGUAGGCGUUAGAAUAUUGAGAGGAGCCUUCUUUAGUACGAGAGGACCGAGAAGGACAUACCUCUGGUGUACCAGUUAUCGUGCCAACGGUAAACGCUGGGUAGCCAUGUAUGGAGAGGAUAACCGCUGAAAGUAUCUAAGUGGGAAGCCCACCUCAAGAUAAG
rnacentral:rRNA from 1 species